AUUGAACGCUGGCGGCAUGCCUUACGCAUGCAAGUCGAACGGCAGCGCGGGGCAACCUGGCGGCGAGUGGCGAACGGGUGAGUAAUAUAUCGGAACAUACCCUAGAGUGGGGGAUAACGUAGCGAAAGUUACGCUAAUACCGCAUACGCACUAAGGUGGAAAGUGGGGGAUUCGCAAGAACCUCAUGCUCAUGGAGUGGCCGAUAUCUGAUUAGCUAGUUGGUGAGGUAAAGGCUCACCAAGGCGACGAUCAGUAGCUGGUUUGAGAGAACGACCAGCCACACUGGAACUGAGACACGGUCCAGACUCCUACGUGAGGCAGCAGUGGGGAAUUUUGGACAAUGGGGGCAAGCCUGAUCCAGCAAUGCCGCGUGAGUGAAGAAGGCC
rnacentral:rRNA from 1 species